rnacentral:lncRNA from 1 species
UAAAUUUCUAUACGUGCAUGGAGCAUUUUCGGUUCCAUGGUCUUCAUGGAAUCAACUAAUCUCCUUUUAUUCAACCACCACAUGUACAUGUACGUGGCUGCAAUUCUUGCAUGGAGAAAGAAUUCGACAAGGUUGCAUGGUGAUCGAUGAGGAAGAACGACAUGCAAGGUUGUUGUAUAAUCCUGGUCACAUCUUCAUUUGCUCGAGGGGUACACAAUUGGACAGCUAAAAAAUUAUCAUAAAAGAUAUCUUGUCGACACAUCUUAUGGAAUAAACCUCAGUCUCACUUCAAUGUAAGGAAGAUUUUUAAUAAGACUAUAAUUUCUUCAACGAUCAGGCCAUUACUAAACGUGACAUAUCAAUCCGAUAAUGAUAACAAAACGAUGUCCAUUGUGGUGUCAAUAACACUGUCCGACGAUACUUCCAUUGCUUAGUCACGGACCAUCGCAUAUCCGAGGGUCGUCAAAAUUUCCGAAUGCCACAUCCUGCUCCGUCAGGCAUGGCAUCAUCCUGCGUAUUCAUACGCAUUAGGAUGGCAUUCCAAUAAGGAGUAUCGGUCCGGCCUCUACAGCGACUCGGCAUCCAUUGACGUGGGGCAUCUGAACUUAACCAGGCAUCGUCCCGCAUAUUCAUACGCAUCAAGAUGGGUUCGUUACCCCGCAUAAUCAUACGCAUCAAGGUAUUUAGGUAAUCACACGAGCACACCAUCAAUCAAACCACUUUUUAUUGCCGUUAUUAGCCAGGAAAACCAAAAUCCCUUUUUAAAUGAUAAAACUUAUAACUCCCUUUUUUUUGUUCAAAACCUUACAAAAUAAAUUCGUACAGGGUCACGUAUUUGAAAUUAACCCGCCAAACUUUGCACGCAUUUAGUAUAAAACCUCCUCAUUUUAUUGAGCACAUAAAAUUUGGCGUCCAAACCCGACACCUCAUUUAUUUUCUAUUUUCUUUUCCAACCACCCCUUUUUGGAACUAAACUUGGGUAAUCCCCUUUUUUUUUCUUUAAAACUUUUGGAAAGAAAUUCGUAGGUGCUUACGUGCUCAAAAUUAAUCCGUCAAACUUUACAUGCACCUAGUUUAAAACCUUAUUGUUUUAUCGAGCAAAUAAGUUUUGGUGUUCAAACCCGACACCUCAUUGUUUUUCUAAUUAAUUGCCCAUAAUGCCAUCUUUUGCAAUAAUAAUAAUCAAUCACCAUAGAACAACCAUUCACAUAAUAUCACGCAUAAAUUCUAAGCAUGCAAAAAAUCACCCAAAUCACAAAACAUACAUUUUCCAUCAGGCGAGAUACCAAGAACAACCACAAAACCACAAUCGGCCCUAACUGACAGAAAACGGGUCCACUCGUGCGUCUCUAAGUUUAAUUCCAGAAACAUAACCAAAAGAGUUCAAAAAAUUCUCAAAUUUGAAUAUAUUAUAAAAGACAUUUAAGUGAACACAUUUCAUGAAGACACCUUGACCACAUCUUUCUAGAAUAAGAUCAGCAAAUAGUCCAAACCGUUAUCAAAACUGUGUCCGUGUCUAGAAAUUAUGUUUUCCAAAACUAGUUUGGUUUGAGGUCCAAAACUCGUCUGUUUGAUCUAAAAUUUGAUUAUGUUAAACUAAAAAAUGUGAUGAACAACUUUUGUGAAGAAACUCUUUCAAAAAUCGAACCCUAAGAGUUGAUAAAAAUCUUUUAAACACCAAAAGGUCACGGGUUCUAGCACAAACCGAGAUUCUGUCUUGCCUGUAACAAAGCUGAAACCUUGUUCUUUUAAAUCCCUAAAAUCUUGAGUAAAUUAUAUGUCAUAGCUGAAGAUGCUUAAAACAUUUUUCAAGAAUGAAGCAACCUCAAAAUUGUAGCACAUUUUAACCCACAAAAAUAGCAAACGGCGAGUGUCCAGUAAAUAGAUCCGAAGUGAAGCUAAUCCAACUUAACACUAAUCUAAUCAGGCUAAUUAAUACUAAUCUAACCAAGUUAAUUAACACUAAUCUAACCACCUAAGUGCAAUUAAUAACCUAAUCAAGGAUUAUGGAGUUAAUUCAUCAGAUUAAGACAGCGGUGGGCUUACGACGACGGCAACGCGACGGCAAUGAGAACCCAAGACUAUCGUGUCUCGAACGGAGACUCGACGGCGGCUGGAUCAGUCCUACAAGUCUCGGCCAAGGAAGAGGGGGCUUCGGCUUGGGGCUAUUGUAGUGGCUACGGGGCUGCGGUGGAGGAGCUGGGCUUUGGUGGGACUAUUCAAUGGUCUCGAUGAAGGUGGCUAUGGUGGAUGGCAGUGAAACGAGUUGCUGGCGUGAAUGGUGCUGAAUUGAGACGUUGCUGGGGCGUGAGGUGUUGGAGGGUCGUGUUGGCGGCUGUGGUGUGGCCAAGGGGGGAGAUGGAGGUGCUGGUUGGUGGUGGGAUGAGGGAGUAAUGAAGAUGGGAUGAGGGGAUGAAGGUGGCGUUGGGGUGGGUGGAUGAGGGGAAAACGUGAGGGGAAGUGGGCGUGCGGCAGAAGGGAGAAGAAGAUGGGGCUGAGGGGAAAGAAAGAAUGGGUAGAGAGAGGGGGGCCUGAAUGUGAGAGAGAGGGAGGGAGAAAACCAUGAAGGUCAAGUGA